rnacentral:lncRNA from 1 species
ACAAUGAUAAUUAAAUUCAUAUUAAUUAUCGUCUUUACUCCACUAUUUAUUAUUUUGACGAUAAUUUAUUAUAUGAUUUCUUAUUGCAUAUAUUCAUCAAAAUUUUGGAAUCAAAUUUGAUCUUUUAGUGAUUAAUUCAUCUUGGUUGUGAGUGUUCGAUAUAAUGAAUGGAUAUUCUCUAAUUGACUAAAAUUUGUCAAAAUUAUUUUCAAUUGUGAGAUUGUCUAAUUUAGGGAGAGUUUGAAAUUGUUUAAAAAAAAAAAGAAAACUCCUAUGUUUAAAAGAUGUGGAAAGUGUUACAUCCUAAAAGGAGUGUGAAAACUACCACCACAUGUAGGAAAGAGCUACCACCCCGGUCGUCCGGUAAGUGUGUGAAGCUACCACAUGGGGAUUAAUUGAAAAGCCGAAAAGGUUGAAAAAAAUAAUAAUAAUUUUAGAAUUUUCGGAGUAAUAAGGUGCUAGUUUGAAAAAGAUGCUCAAAGAGCCACCCCCGGUAUCAUAUUAGUUAAAUCUCUAUUUUGAACAUAUUGCGACAAAUUGGUGUCAAUUUUUGUUGAAUUUCUAAAAAAUCAUUUUUCAUCAACUUACAUCUUGAUGGUUUUGAAUCAUUAAAUUAUUUUUGAUAUUGAAAUUUUGAUGUUUCGAUGUGUUUUGAAAUUUUAUAAUAUCUUAUUUUCAUUAUAAUAAUUUUUGGAGUAAAAGCCUUAAUUAUAUGAAUUUAAUUUAAAUUUGAUGGGUUUUUUAAAGGAUAUUUUUUGAAAAAUUUUUUUUACAUUUUGGUCCUUGUACCGGUACAAGAAACCGUGUUCCGG